UCAAAACUAACCAUGAUUUUAAGGUUCUGGCUACCAAGUGUGGUGACCAGCCUCAAACGCACCGCACCAGAUGGUUUCCUCAGUGCUUCCGACGCUUUCCGCCCCCGUCUUACCGUCACCAAUCCUUCAGGCGUCCCUCGGUUUCAAACAACCAGAACCGCCAACAGCCUCGCCGCUCCGCCCAUCCGCAAAAACAAUGCGGUCGAACCACUCCCACCUCUGGUCAGCCCCAUCGGCGUACCUGACGCCACCUCUCUCUAUCAAGACUCUUUCUCCGGUAUCGAUGCAGGACUCAUUCCUCUACAUCCCUCCCCUCUACCACAUCAACCUCACGGCCUCUUUUCAGACCGCCUGGCUCCUUUCUUCCAUCAAUGGGAGUCUAUCACUUUGGAUGCUUGGGUUCUCCGAAUUGUUCGGGAGGGCUGUACCUUAGAGUUCGAAGAGCUCCCGCCCACGGGUCAGAUCCUUCUCUCCAACCCUUCUCAGGAGAUUCUUGCCGAAAUCGACAUCCUCCUCGCCAAAGGGGCUAUUCAGCCUUCUCCAUCGGUACAGGACCCUCAAAGCUUCUUCUCCAGAUACUUCACGGUCCCGAAGAGGGGAGGGGGGCUCCGCCCCAUCUUAGACUUGCGUGCGCUCAAUACCUUCAUUCGCCCAACCAAGUUCAGGAUGGUGUCCAUCGCCUCCAUCCUUCCUAUGCUUCAGCGUGGAGACUACUUCGUGUCCAUAGACUUACGAGACGCUUAUUUCCACGUAGCGAUCCGGAAAACCCACAGACGCUUCCUUUGCUUCAAGGUCCUCGACCAAACCUACCAGUUCACCGUUUUACCCUUCGGCCUCGUUACGGCCCCAAGGGUUUUCACCAAGGUUGUCGCUGUGGUGGCUGCCCACCUCAGGCUCCAGGGAAUCACAGUUUUUCCAUAUCUGGACGAUUGGCUUCUGGUCGGGUCCGACCCUGUCCUCCUCCGACGUCACGUGGACACCACCCUCAGUCUUCUAGACUCUCUCGGUCUCCAGCUAAAUCCCGACAAAUCUCACCUCUUUCCGUCGAACAAAAUCCGCUUCAUCGGCGCCCUGUUCGACUCAAUCUCUCAAACUGUCUCUCUCCCGCUCGACAGGUUUCUCGCCCUUCGCCAACAAAUCACUCUCUGCGAAAACAAUCGCCACAUAGCCUCCACAGUUCUCACGACCCCGUUUGCCAGGCUCCACCUUCGGACCCUACAGAGAUGGUUUAUAGACGUUUUCAAGCCAUCCCGCCACCUCAAUUCGAGGUUCCUCUCCAUCCCGCUCCAUGUUUGUCAGUCGCUUCGCUGGUGGAAGUCCCUCUCCAAUGUUUGCAAGGGCCUCCCGUUCCAUCCGACUCCCCCCUCGAUUACCAUAACCACGGACUCCUCCAACUACGGCUGGGGAGCCCACAUGGACGGUCUCACCGUACAAGGUCUUUGGUCUCGUUCCGAGAGGACCAAUCACAUAAACUUUCUGGAACUUCUCGCCAUCUUCAAGGCUCUGAAAGCCUUCUCCCGCCUGAUCUACCAAAAAUCUGUCCUCGUUCAAUCAGACAACACAGUGGCAGUCUUCUACAUCAACAAACAAGGCGGCACGGGUUCGAGGAAGCUGAUGCUUCUCUCCUCUCAGCUGUGGGCCUGGUGCAUAGACCACAAUAUACAGCUCCUGGCAGUUCAUCUUCCCGGGAUCCAAAACAGCUUGGCAGAUGCCCUCAGCAGGAUGACGAGUUCCUGCCACGAGUGGAUGCUCGAUCCCGAGACUCUUCUUUCUCUCUUCCACAAAUGGGGAUACCCCACCCUGGACCUCUUUGCCUCUCCCCAGAACGCACAACUACCUCGAUACGGGGCGAGACUUCCUCCGGCCUCCUUUCCAGGCUGCCUGGGAGACGCUUUUCUUCUGGACUGGUCGUCGGAACCGAUCUACCUCUUUCCGCCUUUCCCUCUGAUACAUUCACAGAGUACACGAAGAAAAAGGACAGGUUGCUUACCUGUAACCGUGUUUCUUCGAGUGUACUCUGUGAAUUCACACAAGCCCUUCCUUCCUUCCCCUCUGGCAAACCCUCUUCCUUUCUCGUUGCCUUGGCGGCGCAGGAACUGGAGAGCGGACGCCCAGGGCUGCCUUAUAUGCCCUCCGGGGAUGGGGGGCAUGGCUACCGCCAAAAUUUAAAACUUCAGCUUGGGAAGAGUUUCCGUUGGAGCCCGCGCAGGCGCAGUCUCUCCAUUAGUGUGAAUUCACAGAGUACACUCGAAGAAACACGGUUACAGGUAAGCAACCUGUCCUUAUCUUAAAGAUGAUAGACAUCUUUGAUAAACAUUUCUUCCCCCAAAUAAUUUACUUUCCCAUUUAAAGCCACCUGAGCUAGUAGUGGUGGUUACUUCAUCUCGUCUUACUAAAUCGAAUACACUACUUUUGUAGUGUAUAAAGUAUUUCUGUUGUCUCUCCUGCAUUUUCUACCAUUCAAUUUCAGUGGAUAAUCCCAAGUUAGGAUAUUAUAAGAGAAGAACAUCUAAUAACUUGAUCUUCCUUAUAUUUGAUCAAAAUUGUGAACUGAAGAUAUACAAUGGGCUGAUUUCCACGUCAUAAAAAUGCCAAGGUGCUGAAAUCUAUCAUGAUCAAGCAAGUAUGCUGGUGCCUAGAAUUUGAUUGAUUCUCCUUGUCUGCUUGAGAUGUACCUAAAAAAAAACCCAUGGAUCCACUGUAAUAAUAGGAAUCCUGAUUGUUUGUUCUAGAUAUGCUAGAAUCCCAAGCCAUAUAGUCUUUUGGUAGCUAAUGACUUUGUGUUUGAGUAACCUCUGGUUUAUGACUUUUGCUGUUUUACAAGUACAUUGGCUUCAAACUACAGGAAAGGAGAUUCCACCUGAACAUCAGGAAGAACUUCCUCACUGUGAGAGCUGUUCGGCAGUGGAACUCUCUCCCCCGGACUGUGGUGGAGGCUCCUUCUUUGGAGGCUUUUAAGCAGAGGCUGGAUGGCCAUCUGUCGGGGGUGCUUUGAAUGCGAUUUCCUGCUUCUUGGUAGGGGGUUGGACUGGAUGGCCCAUGAGGUCUCUUCCAACUCCACUAUUCUAUGAUUCUAUGAUUCAUUGUUACCUCUGGUUCUGCCCCUAUUAGGGGAUAAUUAACAACACAUGGCUGCCAUAUUUGAAAUUUCUUUAGUUUUCUUGCUUCCACAAAAGCCAAGCAUCAACAGUUGGGUGCAGUACACCAGUAUGUCUUCUGGACCCCAAUAAACCAGAGCCCUGUCUCAUUAUAGUGUGCUAUCUGGACCAGUUGUUAAAGCUAAGCCUGUGCAUAUUCUAUAAGUAACAUCAUAGGAAUCCUGUCAAUAUUAUAUAAUCAUGUUCAGUCGAUAUCUUUUUUAUCUUCCCAUUUCAUAUUGCAGUAUUUUCAGUUUAUACCCAGUAUGGAGGAGGAUAAAUUCUAAUAACUUAAAUUAGAACAUUUAUUUCACUACUGGACUGUACCUUUUAAUAUAUUUUCAUCAACAUAUGGAUAUAUAUCUCCAAAAAAUUGUUGAUUUUCAUAAAAGCAACAAUUGGCUUUCCUAUGGAGGUAAUUGUUAUUGUAAAACCAUUGUAGACUAUUCUCAGAUCUCCUUCUACACUACCAAGGUUCAGGUCAGUCUGAGCUUUUUUUAUAUCAUAAGUCAUAGCAACUAUUGCUACUACCUCCCUUUCUGCUUACAGUCAUGGAACACAAUUCUUCUGUCCCCAAUCUGUAUUCAGCAACUGUAGAUUUAUUACCAUUCAUAGUUUGUUCCAAUUUUGCAACAAGAUUCUGGUAAUAACAGGCCACAUGGGGGAAAAUAUAUCAGUUCAGUUCUGUCUAUUGAGUUCCGUAAGAUUUUCUCCCAGGUAAAUAAAGUUGCAGUGUAUAAGAGAUCUUUAUGCAUCUUGGGCAGCCUAGCAAAUCUCUGUUAAAAGCAAUUCUGGGAUUGUUUACAACUGUAGUUCUGACUCAUUAAAGCACAAAAAUUCUAUCUUGGGACUGUACCAGCUUUCUUAAUGUUACAUCUUUGCACCUUCUUGCUACAGCCCGUAAAUUGUGUAACCUCCUGAGAAAGAGUGUAUUACACUACAUGAUGUUAUACUGGAUAAGGAGAGCUGUUCUUCAUUAAGCGGUACCGUUGAUAUCAAUAUUUCAUCACUGACGCGAGCCUCGGUGGGUGUAUAUAAACAUUGCCUGAAGGUAUAUGUAUGUCUACUGUGUUAUGCAGUAUAAUAAACACAUAAAAUAUAAUACAUGAAAUUAUAAUAGGUAGAAAUAAUUCUUCUGAGAGAACUAUCAUGCCACUGUGGUGAAUGUUUUUAAAAAUAAUAUGCUUACUUGAUUUUGAAUAUAUGAGGGAUAUGCAUUCCUAAUAUGAUUAUUUUCGAAUUUUGUAUUUCCUUCUAACUGGUUUUCACUAGUUUAUUCUGGUGUUGCAGAAACUCUGACCACAUGGUUCUUGAAUUUUCCUACAAUAUAAAUAAUACUAUGUGGGGGAAGGGAGCUUAUUCUUACAGCAUUUAUCUCAUUUUUUUCAUGUCACGAGCGACUUGAGAAACUAUAUUAUAGAAUCUCACUAUAGUACUAUCACUUUGCUUAGCAAAUGGUGGCAUGGCAAGAGAGAAAAGGAUUCCUCAUUUCUCAGUUUUUUUUUCUGUUGUAGUAUGCCUUUAAAUUGUCUCUAACUUAUGGCAACCCUAUAAUUUCUUAACAAGAUUUAUUCUGUGGAGGUUUGCUGUUGCCUUUCUCUUAGGCCGAGACAGUAUGAUUUGCCUAAGAUCAUUCAAUGAGUUUCCACAAUUGAGUGGGGAUUAAAGCACUGGUCUCCUAGCAUCCUAGGAAUUCCACACCAUAACUACUAUACCAUGGUGAACCUACUGGUGACCUCUAUCUACUACUAUUUAAUUUUCCUUCUCAAAAAGCUCCUCGUGUCACUAAAGGAAUUGUGAAGAUCUUUGUUGGCUCCAUUCCUUUAGUUAUGCUAUUUUAGGACUUGUAGCUUUGCUGCAUAAACUUCCAAUCCAUGCUGGACUGAAGAAGUAUGGCCUGAUGAAGAGCUGUACAUAUUUUUGGAUCCAUGCAUGCAUGCACACUUAUUAUUUACAGCAAUUCUUAGAUUGCACAUUGUGUCUUUAACAACUGUUUCUGAAUCUCUCUGUCUAUAUGAGCAACUGGUCUUCUAGGGUUUGCUCCACCAUAUGAGGACACUAGAAGGUCAUUCUUCUUCUGACUUUCUGGAAUGAGUGGCAGGAGCAAACCCAGUCUACAAGAAAUUUGAACUUCAUAUGCUAUAAAUAGAGGUAACCACUGUUCCUAUUUCAUUUGCUAUUGAGUUAAUUUCUAUAGUUCUGUAGCAGGAAGGAGAGUUCUCUAUAAUAGAAAGGCUCUCUUUCAGAGAAAUACUUCUUCUUGAAUUGUGCAUUUUACAAAAAAAACUCUAAACAAUGAUAUCUAGACCACAUUUUGUUUCCAUGCAAAAUUAGCAACAAUUUCCAGAUCUUUGAACUAUACAUUUGCUUUGCUGAGCUGUGAAUUCUAUUCAUGUGGUACAUAUCUUUUUCUCUUGGAUGUAUUUGUGUGCGUGUUCAAAUUCUGAAAGGGGUCUGUAGGGAAUAGCAUAUUUUAAUGCUUGUCUUAGAUAAGUUUUUCAAAAACUUUAAAUGAGAAGGGAUUAUUUGAUCUCUGUAGGAAAGAGCUGCAGCUUUGUAAUAAUUUUCAAACACAUUAUUGUAGAAUUUUAAAAAUAGGCUUCAAAGAUUGCCUUUUGAUGAAAUAACUCUUCAUAGCACAGCUUGAAGGCAUGUAUUGGUGGAGGGGCUUAGAAUGUUUCAAUCUUCGUUGGUGACUUAAAAACAUAGUGACAACAACGAAGCGUCUGAAAUCAUCAGAAUGGAGAUCAAGGAAGAGAAACCUAACAGUUGCAUUCUGUGCAAUUCCUAUGUGUCCAGGUAUAUUAUGGGAUUGCACAGUGUAUUUAUUUUCAUUAAUGGUAGGAUACUGAGGAAGGACCAUCACCAGUGGACUUCAUCCCUUAUCCAUAUAUAUAUAUAUAUAUGUGUGUGUGUGUGUGUGUGUGUGUGUGUGUGCGUGCGUGUGUGUGUCCCCUUCAUGCCCAACUUUUGUAAGUGCUAGUCAGGCAGCCCAGUGUAUGCUAACUAGAGGAGACACUUUCUUUCUCUUCUUUUUUUUUAUUUUAUUUGAGGGCCCUUCCACACACCAUAUAACCCAGAAUAUCAAGGCAGAAAAUCCCACAAUAUCUGCUUUGAACUGGGUUAUCUGAGUCUACACUGUCAUAUAUUCCAGUUCAAAGCAGAUAAUGUGGGAUUUUAUUCAGCUGUGCGGAAGGAGCCUGAGUCAAAGUUUGAACCUGAUAUCAGACUGUAGUGCUUUGCUCUCAAGCAUGUGGGAUACUAGCAUAGAAGACUGUGUGGCGUAGUCCUGCUAAUCUGUUGCAACAAAAACUGUAAGUCUCAUGGCACUUUCUAAACUAACAGAUUUGAUUUGGCAUAAUCUUUGUAGAGUUCAGUCCACUGAUGCGUUUGAUGGAGUAGGCUGGAAUCCAUGAGAGCCUAUGACAAUUAAAACUUGUUAGUUUUUAAUGUGUUACAAGGCUUUUUGUUAUCCAGAAGAAAAUAUUCACAAAGCUUUCCUUCUGAGAAAGUGUGAGAGAGAAGAUGUUAAAAUGUUAGAGGCAUCUAAACUGGGGGCAUUCUCAUAUAACUCAUAAUCAUGUUUUAACACAGUGAUGUCUAUCUAUGUCCUUCCAGAGAGUGCUGAAGUAGAGUUCCACAAUGACUCAUGAUUGGCUUAUUCUGGCUAGGAUAGUGAGAAAUACAUUCCUACAGCCUCUUAGAUGUCCCUUGUCCCAACUGUUUCCUUGUUUUUAUGGACUGGUUUAAAAAAAUCAGCUCAUGUUAGUUUAAUACUAUAAACCUGAAUGGAGAAGAGCGUAAGAGAACCAUGUGUGCUCCCACUUUUCCACUUUCUAAGAAGAAGUAAACCAGAUUGCAAUUCCAGUUUGAUGGAUUUCUGAUUUAUUUAUUUAUUUGAAGCAUUUAUAUUUCUCCCUUCUCACCCUGAAGGGGACUCAGGACGGCAAACAUUCAGUGCCGGAACAUAAAUUAAACUAUAAAGUAUAAAUAUACAUAAACAAUAAAUCAGUUAUCUGCACUUUAAAACCAUCAAAAAUCUGCCAUACCGGAUCUGGUCAGCAGGGUAACGUUUCCUAUUGUUGCCUUGUUGCACUGUCCCAAAGGCUUGUUUUUAUCAUCUUUCUAAAGAACAGGAGGGAGGGGGCUGAUUUAAUCUCACCAGGUGGGAGUUCCAUAGCCAAGGGGCAACGACUGAGAAGACCCUCUCUCUCAUCCCCACCAAUCAUGCCUGUGAUGGCGGGACCAAGAACUGUACACUGCCCCAGCUAUUAACCUGGCUGCCUCUUGUUGAACUAUGUGAAGUUUCUGAACAGUCUUCAAAGGCAGCCCCACGUAGAGCACAUUGCAGUAGUCUAUCCUAGAUAUAAUGGAUCAUGUCUAGUCAGUUGUUAAGCAGGCCAGUGAGGACCCAUUGAUUGCUUUGCUGGCUUGGGUUUACCUGGGAUAAGGAGCAUAAGAACACAAGACUUCGUAUGGACUCCUCUCGGCUUGUGCACAUAGCGCUAAUGGACUGUUUAUUGUGAUCUGCAAAAAGAGUCUUUGAAUGGUCUCUGAAAGAGUGAGAUGUAAUAUGUAAAGAGCAUAGGUAGAGCCUUUCCUUGUUUUCUUUCAGAUGCAGGAAUAGUUAAUUAAGAAAAAAUGCAGAGAAAGUAAAAAACAAAAAGAGUAAGCAGUUUAAUUUAUUCCUGUUGAUUCUUGAGAGAGUCUGGAGAGCUAUGGGGAAAUAAAAAAAACAUUUGCAAAGAGUAAGCCAUGUGGCUCAUGUAGCAGGUUUUAUGGGCGUUAUUUUAGAUUAUCUUUUUGUUUUUCCAUUAUGUUUCUUUGUCUUUAUGUGUGAAAUUAAUGUUCUGUAAGCUUAUACGGUGGCUAGUUUCUUUCAUGUAAUGCUUCACCAGAUUUCACAGGUAUGUAUAAUUCUGGAAUAUUUUACCAUUGGUCAGUCUGGCUAGAACCAAAUGGAAAUUUGAGUUAAAUAGAAUCUGAAGAUUUACAGGUUCUCCUAUCUUGCACUAGUGAAAUGUUGCUUGUAUUCCCAAUUUUCAGAGAUCCCAACCACAUUGCAGCUCAUAUCACAGCUCAUAUCAUUCUCCAAGUCCUCUAUAUUAUAUUUUCAAAAGCACUAUCAUAAGGGGGGGGGGGGGGAAGAUAGGCAAAUUAAUUUUGUAAUUUUAAUGCACCUGAAUCUGAUUCCAAGUUAUACUUUGCUAGCACAGCAUAGAAAUGAUCUCAUUUUCUCCAUAGAAGGCUAAUACAGUUUCCCCCACCAAAGACAAGCCUCUUCUAAAUGAAUAUUGUCAAGAAAACCCAAUGAUAGGUUCAGCUUAGGGUCACCAUAAGUCGAAAAUUGCUUGAAGGCAUAAGGUUGUUUUUUUUUUUUUAACAAUACUGAAUGAUUCAGGGAUGGACAUUGUGUAAUUUAGCAAAUAUUAAAUCUGCCCUGCCAAAAAGUGCCCAAGGUCAUUUUACAACUUGCAAAUAAUGAUUUCAUUUGGACAAGUAGAGGUGAGAACGGAGGUCAGAUGUAAAAAAGGCUGUUAAAUUUUGUUUAAAAAGAAGCCAAAUCAGUUGCAUAACUUUAAUGUUAUUUUUGAGUCUAGGUUGGUGCAUAGCUGGGACCUUUCUAAGCUUAGGUUGUAAGUAGUAGGGCUUUACUGGCCACAGAGGUCAUAUUUCUCAGUCUAGUAAUGCAGAUGAAAUAUACAUAUUUCUCACAAGUGCCUUGACAACUUUAGAUCAGAAAAGGAUGCCUGCUUUUUACCAGAAGAUGGCAGUUGUGCCAAGCAUAGCAUUUCAGUUUGUAUUUUAUUUCAAGCCCAAGCGUAGUUUUGGCAAGCUUGUGACCAUAUCUGUGAAUGUAAUAUGAAGUACAGCAAAAGCACAAGUCAAUAUUUUUGAAAUACAAAAAAAUUCAUUACAAACAUUUAACAUGAGUCUGACUUAAAUGUAUAAGUGAAUAACAUUUAAAAAAUAAGAUGCAUAUGGUCUCGAUAGAUAUGGCCCUAGUUUUUUUUUAAUUUUUUUUAUUAGUAAUAUGAAAGAGAACCAGUGUGAUAGAGUGGUUUGAGCAUAGGGUUACAACUUGGAGGGCACGGUUCAAAUUCCUGCUUGGCCAUAAAAAUCCCUUGGGUAACAUUGGGCAAAUCACUCUCCCUCGGCUUCAGAAGGCACUUUUAACAUAUCUUGCCAAGCAAGUUUUAGAGUCCUUGCUUAGCCAGUGUUUGUCUCUCAUCCAAAUACUAACCAGGCCUGACCCUGCUUACUCAGAAAUCUGCUGAGAUCAGAUGUGUUCAGGGCAGUAUGGUGGUAAUGAUAUUUCUAGCAAAACCCUUAAAGAACUUUGGUGGUGUAGUUGUUGAGAAUUCAGUCUCAGGUGUUCAUAAAAAACUGCAAAUUUUAAACAUCGAUAAAACCACUUGGUUGUCCUGUAAUCUGCACAGAAGUAUUUGUCUUUCUUGUUCACCUGAUUGGCAAUUAAAUGGCCUUGGAAGAGGUCUGCAUGCAGCGCUAUAGAUAUAAUUGCAAACGAGGACAUAUUCAUUUGGGAGCAACAAUUUUAUCUAUAGAACAAAUACAAUUGCAAAAUUAAUUCUGCCAAGUGGAAUUUGCAUAGCAAAAAGUCAAGAGACAUAAAAAUGACAGGAAUGACAGAAAAGGCCCUCAAGAGCUUUCAGAGGAAAUGAAGGCACUGGUUGGAUGUUGAAUACAUUUUGAUACUGAAGAUAAGUAUUACCACACUUAAUUUAGUAAAUAAGAUAAUUUACAUUGGGGUAUUGUGUUGAAAAGAAGAACAGUAAAAAAUAAUCAGAAGUGUAGGCUGGUUUCUUUUUCUCCCUUUUUUUUAAAGGCAGUCUCUUAUGUUUUUGAGGUGACAUUGGUUUUACAUUCAUCACUGCAGAAUAAUAUGGGCUAUUUAUUUAUCUAUUUUCCCACCUUUUCCCCGGUGUGGCUUUUAAGACAAGUUAAAGCACAAUUCAAAUAAUGGCCCAUGGGCUGCAUGUGGUUCUUACGGAUUCCCAAGACCCUCCUCACGGUAACAGAGAGGAAGGUCCAUGCAGGAAUUAGAUACAGGCAGUCCUCAAGUUGCAAGCAAAAUAGGUUAGGUAGAUUUGUCCUUAAUUUAAUUUGAAUUUGUAUGUCGGAACAGGUACAUUUUUUAAGUGUAACUACAGCCUCUAUAUAUAUAGAGGUAUGGAUGAUAUAUAUAUGAUGGAUAUAUGAUGGAGAUAUAUAUAUAUAUAUAUAUAUAUAUAUAUAUAUAUAUAUAUAUAUAUAAUCCAUACCUCACAACCUCUGAGGAUGCCUGCCAUAGAUGUGGGCGAAACGUCAGGAGAGAAUACUUCUGGAACAUGGCCACACAGCCCGAAAGACAUACAACAACCCUGUGAUCCCGGCCAUGAAAGCCUUCGACAACACACAAAAAUAUAUAUUCUUUGGUUUUGGAUAGCAUAGGAAAAGGUUAACACCCCUGUGGUGUUUGUUUUUCUGUCUGUGUCCCCCCUGUUCAGAAGAUUUCAUCUCACUUUCUGUCCCUGUGAUAGUUGGAUUUUGAAAAAUUUAGCUUGUUGUGGAAACAAGAAUUGAGAAUAAAGCUUCAGUGGAAACCUCUUUUCCCCAUGAAAACUUUUUCAGGAGUGAAUUUCCCUUCGGAGGGGUAGAUUUCUUUCCUGUUGUCUUACCCACAUACUUAACUAUGAGUCGUUUGUAAGUCAGAUGUUUUUAACUCAGGAACUGCCUGUAUUUGCUGAAUUGGGAAAAGUACGAUAUAACCUCACUGAGGUGAAGCCUAGCUUUGUAGAGUAGGGAAAGCUGGGUUGCUGCAGCUGAUAUUGGGACUUUCAGUGUGUGCAGGGAGGAGAGGUUUGAGCACUUGUGCAUGUUGAGAUAGAGUGUGAUUGACUUAAUGUCUGUGUAUCUGGGUGACUGAUCAAUUCAAAGGCUUUAGUCUUCUCUGCAUGGACAUCUCUCAUUUUCUUUAGCCUGCAGAAGAGAAGGCUGAAAGGAGACAUGAUAGCCAUGUAUAAAUAUGUGAGAGGAAGUCAUAGGGAGGAGGGAGCAAGCUUUUUUCUGCUUCCCUGGAGACUAGGACAGGGAACAAAUUACAGGAAAGGAGAUUCCACCGGAACAUUAGGAAAUCUCUCCCUUGGAGUGUGAUGGAGGCUCCUUCUUUAGAGUCUUUUAAACAGAGGCUGGAUGGCCAUCUGUCUGGGUGCUUUGAAUGUGAUUUUCCUGCUUCUUGGCAGGGGGUUGGACUGGAUGGCCCACGAGGUCUCUUCCAAUUUUAUGAUUCUUAAGACCACUGUAAAGCAAAACACAUGUGGAUGUGUGUGUGUGUGACAGUUACACAUUUCACAUAUUCAUAGACUCAUAAAAUUGGAGAGGGCCUCAUGGGAUAUUGAGUCCAACUUUCUGCUCUAUGCAGGACAUCCAUCUAAAGCUCUCCUAUCAGGCAACUGUCUGGUCUCCUUUUGAAGAUGUCUAGAGGGGGAGACCCCACCACAUCUCUAUGCAAUUGGUCUCAUAGCUGGAUAGCUCUUACUGUCAAGAAAGUGCUUCUGAUCUUCAAUCAAAAUAUACUCUCCUGUGACUUCAAACCAUUAAUUCUGAUUCUUAGGGGCAACAGAGAACAGGCCUGCUCUGUCCUCUCUCUGACACCCCUUUCGGUAUUUAAAGAGUGCAACCAUGUCACUUCUCAAUCUUCUUUUUACCAAUUCCUUCAGCCUUUUCUCAUAUUUCUCCAGAUCUUUCAUCAUCCUUCCUGAUUUUCUCCACAUUGUCUAUAUCCUUUUAAAAACGAGUCACCCAGAACUAAACACAAUAAUCCAGAUGAGACCUGACCAAUGCAGAAUAUUGUGAGACUUUUACUUGGAAACUGUACUUCUAUAAAUGCAGGCUAAAAUAGGAUUUACUUUCUUUACUGAAUAUCAUACUGUGCCUCAUGUUCAGCUUAUGAUCAACAGUGAUCCCAAGAUUGCUUUUGCAUAAUGUACUUCUGAGCCAUAGAUCCCACAUCCUAUAGUCUAUGCAUUUGUCUUAUGUGCCCAAAAUGUAAAAUUUUGUAUUUGUCUCUAUUGAAUUUCGUUUCAUUAAUUGUUACCCAGUUUUUAGUUUAUCUAGGUUUAUUUGAAUUUUUUGUGUCUGUCUUUCAAGGUGUUAGCCACCCAUUAGUCUCAUGCCGUUGGCAAAAUUAAUAAGGAUUCCUUUCAUUCAAUCAUCCAAAUAAUUGAUAAAAAUGUUGGAGAGCAAUAGCCUUAGGACAGAAUACCUAGUCACUCAAUGUUUGCUGAGGUCAUUUUUAUAGUGUCUUGUCAUUAACAAGUAUCACUGAGUUGCUUUGGAUCUUUCAUCCCUUUAACACACCUAUUGCUUGGACAUGGAUAAAAAGAUGUGUGACAAACCGAUUCUUAUGUGACUGAUGUUUAUUUACUUUUACUGAAAUUAAUCUGUAAACAUCUGCCCAUCUGUUAGAUUGCUGUAAUGGUAUAAGAUGGUAAAUGCAGCUGCUUCCCUCAUGACAAAAGUACCCCCCCCCCCCCCCCGGUGGAAAAAAUGUGAUGACUUCUAGGUGAAGAAGAGGACAUUUGGACUCAGGCCACAGCUAAUUUCAUACUACAAACCAUAAUUUGUAUGGAUUGUUGUUUAUUUAUGAAUCACAUCUUGUUAAAUUCAAGUCUAGAGCCAUCACCAAUUCUCAUGUUACUUUUCCAACGCACUGCAGUGAAUCAGAAACUGAAAACAUGUAGGAUUAUAAACAUACUAAAAUGGGUGGAAUUCCAAAACCUUUGGUUUGAUGGGUUGCUUCUUGCUUGUGAGUUAGUUUGUGUCUAAAACCGCACAUUGUGACUAAUAUAACUAUGAUUUAAUAGAGGGCUGGUCAAAAUACCAUUUGCAGACUGGAUGUGGCCCAUGGGUUCUGAAGCGUGUCCUAUGACACUUCUCAAAGCCUCCAGAUCUUGAUUUUUUUUUAAAAAAUACAUCAGUUUUGCUUUAAAACCGUAAAGACCCCACACAUUUCAAAAGAGAGCAAAAAAACCAAAAAAAGAUUAAAAACAAUAUUGGCCGACAUUGAAACAUGUGUCCACCCCAAGUUCAACGUGUCAUUAAAAGAUAAAAGUAAUAACUAUCCAAAGAUCUUUGAGGUGUAAAGUUUAAAAAUAACCUGACUUCUAUGUAUCUCAUGAUAGCAAAGAUACCUUGAAACACAGAAUUUCAUGAAACCACCCCAGGUGUAAUUGAUGUAUUCAUUUUGCUACAUUGUGAUUAUCUUUCCUUUAACUUGCAAAACUUUUAUAGGGACAAGGGAAAAGGUAGAUGAUUACACAAGAUUGUGUUCAAGAUUUAAUAAGCCUCUGUUCACUAGAGAAAUACUCAAUUAAGUGUGUUAGGAUUUGGAAAUAUGUUAGCUGAGCUGAUGAAGUAGUGUUUGUAUAAGCCGUGUAUUUUAUACCUUGUUGGAAAAAUCUCAAUGUGCAUAAUUUCUGUGUUUCUUUGUUCCAUGAAGUGUCCCAUGUUCCAUUCGCCAUACAACAAAGAGGGCCACUGGAAACUGAAGCUGUAGUUCUUUGUUUGUUUUUUUUUUAUUCAUCUCUGUGCAGUUCUUUACCUGACCCCAUUUUUAGUAUGUUUUCCUUUAAAGAUUUCAUUAGCUGUACAAAAUUAGACCUUUGGUUUAUCGUGCCCAUUUGGUUUUCCAUUGGUACUUUGUCUGUUUGUUUUAUAAUGUGUUAACUCUAAUGAUCACUGGAAUUAUUGAGGGAAAUCUUGGUAUAUGUUUUGAGUACAAUUCUCUCGUUUAUAUAUGAGCUCUUGAUUGAUUUCCACAUUCAUUUGCAAAGAAGCUAGGAAAGCUUGAAUAUAAUUCUACUCUAGGAUUUGAUACUACCUGGACAUACCCUGAUUCCUUGAAAAUAAGACAUACCCAUAAAAUAAGCCCUAGCAGGAUUUCUAAGCAUUUGCACAAUAUAAGCCAUACCUUGAAAAUAAGACAUAGUGAUAGGCGUGAUCAUGCAGCGUACAAGGUCGCUCUCCCUGUCAGGUUCUGGUCUUCUGUGCGUGCUGUAAGCUGAGGCAUAGAGGGAGACAUAGAAAGUGAAAGUAUCCUCAGUGAAGUGAGAAGCAGGACGCUCUAGGUAUUGUGUGUCCUCAGGCGGAGGAAGUAAAGCUGUGGCUGCCGUUUUACUCGACACUGUGGGUCUCUCUUCCCCAACACCAACCAGCAAAGGUCUGUGGGUCUCUCUCACCCCACACAAACACCAGGGGAUAGGGGAAAAGCUUCAGCAAGCAGUCUGCUACUGUACCCAUAGAGAUCAUCCCAUAAAUACAGAUCUUUGUACCAUACUUAAUAAAAAAAAGACGUCCCCUGAAAAUAAGUCAUAGCAUGUCUUCUUGAGGAAAAAUAAAUAUAAGACAGGGUCUUAUUUUCGGACACACGGGACCUUUCUAAGUAUUCAUCUACACUGUAGAAUUAAGAAUGUAUGUUAACUGCCAUAGCUCAAUGCUAUGGAAUCCUGGCAGUUAUAGUUUGGUGAAGCACCAGCACUCCUUUACAGAGAAGGCUAAAGACCUUGUAAAAUUACAGCUCCCAUGAUCCCAUAGCAUUUAGCAAUGGCAGUUAAAGUGGUGUCAAACUGCAUUAGUACUACAGUGUAGAGCCUGCCUAAGACUGAGCAAACCUUUGCAUUCUUGCAUUCCUUAUUCCUCUUUCUCCUUGUCUCAAAGGCAGCCAAAUUUCACCUCCUCCUGGCUCAAAGUUUGUGGAGUUUUCCUGUUGAGCAACUAAUUGGGAUUCUUUGUAAACCAUGAUUCAGGGUUCAUAUAUAAUGACAAAGAGAGAAUCGUGGAAUGUAAAAUAGAAGUUGCAUUGAGUUAAGACAGAUGCAAACAUGUUCAGCACUUUGUCAUACCUAAAUGAAACCAGUGUGAAGCCGGAUAGUUUUAGAAUAUAGGCAUAUCAAAAUGGAAAUCUGUGCAGUCCACAGUUUGCCGUCUAAGCAAGAAACACAUUGGCCCCACAUUCAUUUUGAAGAGGGCUUCCUAGAAUCAUACAAUCAUAGAGUUGGAAGAGACCUCAUGGGCCAUCCAGUCCAACCCCCUGCCGAGAAGCAGAAAUCGCAUUCAAAGCGAUUUUGGAAGUGAGCUUGCUUAAAUAUUUUGUGUAUGUUUUGUACUGUGGGUUCUGUGGUUCAUAUACUGGAAUAAAAAAAGAGUUUGAAAAUGUGUUAGUACUUGUAUCGCAACUUGAUAAAGACUAUGGGAGUUUUAGUUUGAUAUUCUCAAUUUGUGGAAUAUAUAUUAAAAGUAGUUAACAGCAGUCCUUGAACAUUUUCUCUUCCCUUUUGCUGGAGUGUAUGUGCUUUCAAAUUCCAUGUAGCAGAAUUGCCGUAAGUGUCCAAUAGCACCUUUGAAGUCUAAUAUAUAAUUUCAGCUAGUUCCUCCCCUGGAUAAAUGAAGCUAUAGGCAAAGGCUUCUUUAGAUUCUUUCUCCAUAAUACAAAUCGCAGCACGGAUGUUGGCGGAAUCCUAUCCCUGUACAUCUCAGUGCCUUAUUCCUCCAAGGACUUUGAAGAAACAGCUGAAGUAUGAUAUGAGAGAGGAAUCUCUUGGAGAUGUGGGAAAUGCUACAGGCUGGAUCUAACCCUUGGGCUCCUAGUUGCCUCUCCCUGUUUGCACUGGAACUUUUGGCAAGAAUACAGGGAUGAUGAAUAUUCACAAUGUGGAGCUAAAAGCAAAGAGUAGGCUGGUGAAGUUGAUCACUCAAUCCUCUCAUUCUCAGGCUUCUUGGCAAUCAGCAUGUGUAAUACAAUUCCUUUCUGCCUGAAGAAAAUGGAACCGAGCACAUAACUAUAACUCCUAUAGAGCUGCAGAGUGUAAGCAACCUUCAUUUUUUUUCUGUUUGGCAUCAAACUAUAUGCAAGUGCUCUCAGUCUUUGCCCUUCUCAAUUUUGUGGAACAGCUUAUGCUCUGGUUUUUGAGUACCUAAAGGAUUACCUUCUAGUUAGUCAGAAAUUUCUUGCGCUGAAGAGACUGUGAAGUCAGACUAGGCACUGGAGUACCGUGCAUGUAGAAGAUGAAAUAGCAGCCGAACCACUAAAGUAUGCAGAACAGCUUCCAGUGGCACAAAUAAUACAUCAG